rnacentral:rRNA from 1 species
UAAAACAUGCAAGUCGAACGCGAACGCAACUUCGGUUGUUAUUAGAGUGGCGAAAGGGCGAGUAAUGCAUUUCUAACGUACCCCAAGGUCAGGGAUAGGUCGGAGAAAUCCGGCACAAUACCUGAUGACCCGGUAGUGUCGUAUGGCACAGCCGGCAAAGGUUUACUGCCUUGGGAGCGGGGAAUGUCCUAUCAGCUUGUUGGUGAGGUAAUGGCUCACCAAGGCGAAGACGGGUAGCGGGCGUGAGAGCGCGGCCCGCCGCAUCGGGACUGAGACACUGCCCGGACUCCUACGGGAGGCUGCAGUAACGAAUAUUCCACAAUGCGCGAAAGCGUGAUGGAGCAAUGCCGCGUGUAGGAUGAAGCCCCUCGGGGUGUAAACUACUGUCAGGAGCUACCAACACAAUGAGGAGCUCCAGAGGAAGGAUCGGCUAACUCUGUGCCAGCAGCCGCGGUAAUACAGAGGAUCCGAGCGUUACGCGGAAUCACUGGGCUUAAAGCGUGCGUAGGCGGAUAGGCAAGUGCCUUGUGAAAUCCCCGGGCUUAACCCGGGAAUUGCUCGGUAGACUGCCUAUCUUGAGGUCGGUAGAGGCGGUCGGAACGGUAGGUGGAGCGGUGAAAUGCGUAGAUAUCUACCGGAACGCCGAAGGUGAAGACAGGCCGCUGGGCCGAACCUGACGCUGAGGCACGAAAGCGUGGGUAGCGAACAGGAUUAGAUACCCUGGUAGUCCACGCCGUAAACGAUGCGUACUAGAUCGAGGAGGUUUUGACGCCAUCUCGGUCGAAGCUAAAGUGUUAAGUACGCCGCCUGGGGAGUACGGUCGCAAGGCUAAAACUCAAAGGAAUUGACGGGGGCCCACACAAGCGGUGGAGCAUGUGGCUUAAUUCGAAGCAACGCGAAGAACCCUAUCCAGGGUUUGACAUGUAUGGAUUAACUCGAUGAAAGUCGAGCCACGCUCUUUGAGUGGAACAUACACAGGUGCUGCAUGGCUGUCGUCAGCUCGUGCUGUGAAGUGUCGCGUUAAGUCGCUUAACGAGCGAAACCCCUAUCGUUAGUUGCCAUCAGGUUAUGCUGGGGACUCUAACGAGACUGCCGGUGUCAAACCGGAGGAAGGUGGGGAUGACGUCAAGUCCUCAUGGCCUUUAUGCCCUGGGCUGCACACGUGCUACAAUGGCGCGCACAGAGCGAAGCAAUAUCGCGAGAUGGAGCAAAUCGCAAAAAACGCGCCCCAGUUCGGAUUGUAGUCUGCAACUCGACUACAUGAAGUCGGAAUCGCUAGUAAUCGCGUAUCAUCAAUGACGCGGUGAAUACGUUCCUGAGCCUUGUACACACCGCCCGUCAAGUCAUGGGAGCCGGGAAUGCCCGAAG